AUCAGUAUCUUCGUUUUUUUUAGAAAUAUAUAUAUAAAAAAUGACAUAUCAUUAGACGUAUUCGUAUCUUAGUUUUUUAGAAAUUGACGAAUCGCCGUAUCCAAUCGUAUUCAUAUCGUGUAACUGUAUCAGUGUCUGUGCUUCAUAGGAAUUUGUAAAUGCAGAAAUUCUCACACAAUCAUUUGUGAAUUUAAAGAACAAAAGAUGAAUGUAAAAGAGAACUUGUAGAAACGACUAUCGACAAAGAAGCUCAACAUGUCCUUGUGGAACCACUUCUCAAUCCAGCUGCAGAAGUGCAAGCAAUUAGCAGGGUACACCGACUUGGACAGAAAAAUAAGAUGUUUGUACAUCGAUUCAUAGGAAGGAGACUAAAUUUGAAGAUAUCCACUUGAGUGGAGGUGAGUUUACAAAUUAUGAUGAGAAGGGAAAAUGUGUUACAUAUAGACUCGGUCAUGAAGGAACUUGGAUAUGCAUUCAAGAGCACUUCUCCAUAUAGAAAUCGCCGCCUUCACAUGUUGUUGGGUUAGAAAAUGACUUAAGGCCUACGAUGAGGAGGAUGUUCAGCCCAAAUCAAUUUGGUAGGUGAAACGAAAGGCACACAAUGUACCACACAUCUCAGCUGGCUGUGCAACACAUGGACACCUCCACUAUCUCGAUUUAGUGGGAGAGAAGGAAGCCGACAAAUCUUCGAUGUGAUCAAAGAAGAAAAUGAAACAUGCAAUUUUAUGAGCAGAAAGAAGAAGAGAAGAGGAACACGAACAUGUACGUAGUUCGGCCUAACUCAGGGCCUACGCCCACGGGAAGGGAUGAAGUUUAUUGCUAAUGAUUUUCAGAGAUAAGUUUCUUUUACAAGUUUUUGUUUUAAGAAAUGUAAAGAACAGCAUAAUAUGUAAAAGUACCUACUAUUUAUAUUUGUAUACAUUUCUGUUAUAAAGCUGUUAGAGAAAUUAGCCGUUGGAUUUACUUGAAAUUAUUUUCUUCACAUGUAUUUCGCUAUUUCCUUAAAAUCUCUAAACCCAUUAUGAAGCUUUUCAAUUCUUUUUGUUUUAUGAAAAGUCAUUUUUAGUUUAGUUCACAGUCAAUGUGAGAGAGAGAUGGGAACUUGUAUGGGAUUUUAGCUUUUGGUACUGUUUCUUUAUGAAAGAUGUUUUAUAAGCAACUUGUGACACACUUUGUUUGUUGUGAUACCCAAUUCCAAAUGUUGAAUAACGUUAAUU